CCUACGGGAGGCAGCAGUGAGGAAUAUUGGUCAAUGGACGGAAGUGUGAACCAGCCAUGCCGCGUGCAGGAAGACGGCUCUAUGAGUUGUAAACUGCUUUUGUACAAGGGUAAACCUGAAUACGUGUAUUCAGCUGAAAGUACUGUACGAAUAAGGAUCGGCUAACUCCGUGCCAGCAGCCGCGGUAAUACGGAGGAUCCAAGCGUUAUCCGGAUUUAUUGGGUUUAAAGGGUGCGUAGGCGGUUUGAUAAGUUAGAGGUGAAAUGUCCGGGCUUAACUCGGGAACUGCCUCUAAUACUGUUGAUCUAGAGAGUAGGUGCGGUAGGCGGAAUGUAUGGUGUAGCGGUGAAAUGCUUAGAGAUCAUGCAGAACACCGAUUGCGAAGGCAGCUUACCAAUCUAUCUCUGACGUUGAGGCACGAAAGCGUGGGGAGCGAACAGGAUUAGAUACCCGGGUAGUC
rnacentral:rRNA from 1 species